rnacentral:misc_RNA from 1 species
GAUGAAGAACGCAGCGAAAUGCGAUAACUAAUGUGAAUUGCAGAAUUCAGUGAAUCAUCGAAUCUUUGAACGCACAUUGCGCCCGCCAGUAUUCUGGCGGGCAUGCCUGUUCGAGCGUCAUUUCAACCCUCAAGCCCCCGGGCUUGGUGUUGGGGAUCGGCGUGCCCUCGCGGCGCGCCGUCCCCUAAAUCUAGUGGCGGUCUCGCUGUAGCUUCCUCUGCGUAGUAGCAACACUCGCACUGGAUCGCAGCGCGGCCACGCCGUUAACCCCCCCACUUCUGAAAGUUUGACCUCGGAUCAGGUAGGAAUACCCGCUGAACUUAAGCAUAUCAAUAAGCGGAGGA